UUAAUUACAUGGUUUUUAGAGCUACUUACCUAUGGAUUGAUUCAAUUGCUUUCACGUAUCAUAAGCUUAGGUAGAUAGCUUUUAGCUAACAUUCAUUUGAUAAACAUAUAGUGUUUCAAAAAUUUUCUGACUUAUGUAAGUAUUCUUUCAUUUUAAAGGAGAAGAAAUAUUCUAAUUUUACAUUUAUUAAGAAUAUUUUCGCUACUGAAAUUGUAACUUUUAAAAAAUUGAGGUAAAUGGAAUAAUGGUCUAUAAUUUUUUUAGUUUCUAAAGAUUAUUUUCUUUGGAAAAAUCUCAAGAUUUUUGGAUGGGCAAGAAAUUUAAAGUAAUUUCUUUAAUUGUUUUAAAAUUAGACCAUAGCACAGUGGCGGAAGUCAGGAUACCAGGACAUGCCUGAAUAUGAAAAUUUCCGCCACCUUCUGCAAGCCCCAGUGGAUGAUGCACAGGAAAUUCUUCACUCCAGAUUUCCAAUGCCAAGAUACAUUGACACUGAACAUGGAGGCAGCCAGGCCCGUUUCCUUCUUUCAAAAGUCAACCCUUCACAGACUCAUAAUAAUAUGUAUGCCUGGGGGCAGGAGUCUGGAGCACCUAUUCUUACAGAUGAUGUUAGUUUACAAGUGUUUAUGGAUCACUUGAAGAAACUUGCUGUGUCCAGUGCUGCUUGAAGUGCUAAACAUGUUAAAGACACUUAAGAAGAUGA
rnacentral:sRNA from 1 species